rnacentral:SRP_RNA from 1 species
GCCGGGCAUGGUGGUGCGUGCCUGUAGUCCCAGCUACUCAGGAGACUGAGGCAGGAGGACCACUGGAACCCGGGAGUUCUGGGCUGUCGUGCACUACACUGACUGGACGUGUGCACUAAGCAUCGAUAUGGGGAACCUCUGGAGCGAGGGACCACAGAGGGCCAAAGGCAGGGUGAAGGCCCAGGCCAGAAAGGAGCGGGCCAAAACUCCCGUGAUCAUCAGUAGUGGGAUCGUGCCUGUGAACAGCCACUGCACUCCAGCCUGGCAGCAUGGUGAGACUCUGUUUCC